rnacentral:rRNA from 1 species
AUUGAACGCUGGCGGCAUGCCUUACACAUGCAAGUCGAACGGCAGCACGGGUGCUUGCACCUGGUGGCGAGUGGCGAACGGGUGAGUAAUACAUCGGAACAUGUCCUGUAGUGGGGGAUAGCCCGGCGAAAGCCGGAUUAAUACCGCAUACGAUCUACGGAUGACAGCGGGGGACCUUCGGGCCUCGCGCUAUAGGGUUGGCCGAUGGCGGAUUAGCUAGUUGGUGGGGUAAAGGCCUACCAAGGCGACGAUCAGUAGCUGGUCUGAGAGGACGACCAGCCACACUGGGACUGAGACACGGCCCAGACUCCUACGGGAGGCAGCAGUGGGGAAUUUUGGACAAUGGGCGAAAGCCUGAUCCAGCAAUGCCGCGUGUGUGAAGAAGGCCUUCGGGUUGUAAAGCACUUUUGUCCGGAAAGAAAUCCUUGGCCCUAAUACGGUCGGGGGAUGACGGUACCGGAAGAAUAAGCACCGGCUAACUACGUG